rnacentral:rRNA from 1 species
UACGUAGGGGGCUAGCGUUGUCCGGAAUCAUUGGGCGUAAAGCGCGUGUAGGCGGUCCGUUAAGUCCGCUGUGAAAGUCGGGGGCUCAACCCUCGAAUGCCGGUGGAUACUGUCGGGCUAGAGUGCGGAAGAGGCGAGUGGAAUUCCUGGUGUAGCGGUGAAAUGCGCAGAUAUCAGGAGGAACACCAAAUGCGAAGGCAGCUCGCUGGGCCGUUACUGACGCUGAGACGCGAAAGCGUGGGUAGCAAACAGG